rnacentral:lncRNA from 1 species
ACCAGCUCAGACUUUUGUCCCUGUAGGUGGUGGUAGUGGUCAGAAAUGGCUUUUGCUUUGGUAAUAGGUGAAUUUUAUUCCUCAAGAGUCUCAGGCAUCAGAAGUACUAGGUGUCUUAAUCCAAGCAAAAAUAAGACAGCUUAAAAAACAACCAGAAGAAAGUGCCUCUGAUGAACUAUCCAUCCUUAUUUUUAAACUGGUCUUUGAGAGGAGAAUAGUACGUGGUUAUAUAUAGGGCAAGAUAAGAGCAACUAGGACUUCAAAGCUUGUUGAUGGCUGCACUCUGGAUAAAGUCCUCAUUUGUAUGGUUGGGCUUUCUGAUCAAAUAGCCUUUCCAGGUUUAACUUCUGUAAGGAGCCUCAAGUGAAAAAACCAGGGCCACUGGGGAUUUUUAUGAAAUCAUGUAGAGUGCUGUAGUUUUGAAGUCAUCCUUUCAUGAUAAAAUACCUAUGGAAAACCAGGGAUAUUUUUUUCUCCAACUCUUCCUCUCUUUACUCCUUACCCCUCUACUCUCUACUUCUGUCUUCCUUCCCUCCACCCUUUUAAGAUUCAGCGGGUACAGAACAACCUCUUCUAUUUCAGAGUACCCUUGAGGAUUAAAAUGUAUUGUGAUUAGUUGUCUUUAAUUAGCUAGCUGGAGUCAGUUGAUAUCUCUGCCAAGCUGAAGCCUAGUACCUACGAAGCUGUUUCUUUACCAAAGUGUCUUGUUUCUGUUUAUGGUCAUGAGCUGAUCAUGCAGUUUGCUAGAUGAUUUGACACUGGUAGUGAGUUCUUUUGAGGUGUGAGAUUUCUACUUGAAACUGAUAGAUCUUGAUCUACUUUAUUAGAUCACUGAUUCAGAGCUCAAAUCCCAGGUUCAGGGUAAGAAUUUGUAACACAAAGGAAAAACUCCCUUCACUUUGCCCUUAACACUUGCCUCUGUUAUAUCUAAGCUUCAUUAGAUUUCUUAAUAUCAUCCAGUGUUUGAUGUUACCUGCAUUGUUUUUUCGUUUUAAUUGUGGUUGUUCUGAUGUGUGAAAUUUAAGGAAAGAGCCAUUUAAUAAAUGCCAAGCAGGGCAAUGCAGCCAAAUAUUAGAGUUGAUGUGCAGUCUUAGGUCCUUUUUAAUCUGGGGUAUUAUAGGCAGUACUUUAAAUCAGAGUCUUCCUGGCCUAUUUCCCUCCACCUUUUUGUAGUUACUCGGGGGCUUACUUGUGCAGUACUAAAAUCAAAGGAGCUGGUUCUUCUUUUCCCCCAAUCUUUUCUUAGUAAUGAACACACCUACAACUAGCCUGCUACUCCUAUUCAUACACAGCAGAUGUCAGUGCUGUGCUGCUAAUAUUAGCUGGAUUUCCUGCAGUGCAGGGAUGGAACCUUGCACAUGCUAGGCAAGCUUUCUAACCCUGAGCUACAUACAUCCUAGCUCUUAGAACUAGCACCCUGAAGCAUCUUUGUUUCAUGUGUCAAGAUGCGGACAAAGACCAACAUUGUUUUUAUAAAAAUGCUAGUAAUUUAGAACCCUGCCCCACCCCCUACCCCCCAAUCAAGGAGGCAAAAAUUAAUGCACUAGUCACUGAAGACUCCAUCUUCAGUUACCUGGAUAGGAUAGAUUCCUCCUAACAAGUACUGGUGAGCAUCACAGUGCUUUGCAAAGAUUUAAGAGGAGGCAGUUACUGUACUUCGCCUGCUUUUGGGCCUAGAUAACAUCACUGUUUAUUUACAAAAAGCAAACAGCUUGGGUUUGAAAAGGCAGCCAUGUAGAGAAAACUUGAGAAUUGGGGCUCACUGGGAAGUUCUAGUGCUAAUGUUAAAACCUCAAAUCAGCUGGAUAUUUGAAGAUGGUAAAGAAUUGGAUAUAGUCCUGAAACAUUUUAUUUUUCUAAAACAGGCUGAUUAGCAGUGGUGGUUUUCCCUUUUUCUGACAGUGUGUUUUAGCUCCUGUUUCAGAUUUCUGUGUUAUUUUUUCCAAUUUACAAGUCCCUUAAGUUUCCACCUGGAAUGUCAGGUGGCAAUGACAUCGUGUUCUUUUUUUAAACCCUUAUUUAAGAACAAGUUGAGUUGAACUGAAUCUUCCUUGUCUUAGUAACAUUGUACAAACAGUGGCUUUUUUUUAAGUUGUAAUGCCUUCUGAUGGAUAUAAUUUUGUGCUUGUAUUUAAGAUUAAAAGUUGAGUAAAUAACACCAGCUUCCUGAAAAUGUCCAUAAUGCAUCUUUUGAAAAACAAAACACCUGCCUACUUUACAUUAACAUGGUAAAGAUUGUAUGAAAUACCUGUUUUUCAAAAAAUAAAGGUUCAAGAUAACAGUA